rnacentral:lncRNA from 1 species
CUCACCUGAGGCAUCAUCUGGAUCAAGCCCUGGUACAUCAGGUGUCACUACUCCUGGAAAAACAAGCACUAGAGCCACAGGUUCAGGGACCACUGCACCAUCAACUAGUGAAGCAACUAGAGCCUCUAGCAGUCAAUCGACCCAGCCUGGAGAACAUUCAGGCAAAAGCAGUUCCACUGUGUCAGUGUCUACUCAAGGAGAAGGCAUCACACCCAGGGAACAGGGCACUACAGCUACAAGCCCAGG